UACGAAGGGGGCUAGCGUUGCUCGGAAUCACUGGGCGUAAAGCGCACGUAGGCGGAUUGUUAAGUCGGGGGUGAAAUCCUGGAGCUCAACUCCAGAACUGCCUUCGAUACUGGCGAUCUCGAGUCCGGGAGAGGUGAGUGGAACUCCGAGUGUAGAGGUGAAAUUCGUAGAUAUUGGGAGGAACACCAGUGGCGAAGGCGGCUAUCUGGACGAACACUGACGCUGAGACACGAAAGCGUGGGGAGCAAACAGG
rnacentral:rRNA from 1 species